rnacentral:tRNA from 1 species
UGAGGUAGCUCAGUUGGUUAGAGCAACAGACUCAUAAUCUGGAGGUCCCUGGUUCAAGCCCAGGCUGGUCCA